GACAGAGGGUGCAAACGUUGUUCGGAAUUACUGGGCGUAAAGCGCGUGUAGGCGGCUAAGUAAGUCGGGCGUGAAAUCCCACGGCUCAACCGUGGAAGUGCACUCGAAACUGCAUAGCUAGAGUCCUGGAGAGGAAGGUGGAAUGCUUGGUGUAGAGGUGAAAUUCGUAGAUAUCAAGCGGAACACCGGUGGCGAAGGCGGCCUUCUGGACAGUGACGUGACGCUGAGACGCGAAAGCGUGGGGAGCCAAACAGGG
rnacentral:rRNA from 1 species